UGGGGAAUAUUGCACAAUGGGCGCAAGCCUGAUGCAGCCAUGCCGCGUGUGUGAAGAAGGCCUUCGGGUUGUAAAGCACUUUCAGCGAGGAGGAAGGUGGUGAACUUAAUACGUUCAUCAAUUGACGUUACUCGCAGAAGAAGCACCGGCUAACUCCGUGCCAGCAGCCGCGGUAAUACGGAGGGUGCAAGCGUUAAUCGGAAUUACUGGGCGUAAAGCGCACGCAGGCGGUUUGUUAAGUCAGAUGUGAAAUCCCCGGGCUCAACCUGGGAACUGCAUUUGAAACUGGCAAGCUAGAGUCUCGUAGAGGGGGGUAGAAUUCCAGGUGUAGCGGUGAAAUGCGUAGAGAUCUGGAGGAAUACCGGUGGCGAAGGCGGCCCCCUGGACGAAGACUGACGCUCAGGCUGCGAAAGCGUGGGGAGCAAACAGGAUUGGAUACCCUGGUAGUCCACGCUGUAAACGAUGUCGAUUUGGAGGUUGUGCCCUUGAGGCGUGGCUUCCGGAGCUAACGCGUUAAAUCGACCGCCUGGGGAG
rnacentral:rRNA from 1 species